GCCACUACAGAAAUGGAACAGGUGGUCACGGUACUUCUGUAGCAGGAAAUAACCCCUCUGCCUUACAGAAAUAAAAUAUGGAUCUGUACCGUAGGAAAGCGUUCUCAGUGAUCACACCAUUAUCUAUCUGACUGCCUCACUGCAGCAAAUAAUCAUACAAGUAUAUCUGGAGUUGCCUUAACGCAACAAAUGAAUAAACACAUCUCUUGGGUUGCCUCAAGCAACAAAUGACCUUUCAACAGGUCCU
rnacentral:lncRNA from 1 species